rnacentral:rRNA from 1 species
UACGUAGGUGACCAGCGUUGUCCGGAUUUACUGGGCGUAAAGAGCGCGCAGGCGGUCGGUCAAGUCGAGUGUGAAAGCCCCCGGCUCAACUGGGGAGGGGCACUUGAUACUGAUCGACUCGAAGGCAGGAGAGGGAAGCGGAAUUCCCGGUGUAGUGGUGAAAUGCGUAGAUAUCGGGAGGAACACCAGUGGCGAAGGCGGCUUCCUGGCCUGUUCUUGACGCUGAGGCGCGAAAGCUAGGGGAGCAAACGGG